GAAAUGCAGAGCAUCCAGGCUGUCACUGCUACAGCAGGGCCCCUAAUGCACUGCCUUACAUCAACAUGAUUGUCAACUCAUUUCAGCUCAAUCAUCCGGCCUUGUGAGAGACGCCCACAUGCUGAAGAGCCUUUCUGCAGUUCUGCAUUGAACUCUUCAUGUGGCCCCAUCUAGUAAUGAGUGCGAGUGGUCAUGUGGCAAAGACACUUUGAGGAGCCCAUCCUGGGAUGAAAACCAUGGCCAGGGAAGAGGCCACAGCAGAGAGGCAGAGGUGCUGAAACCACUUCUGCAACCACAAGGACGAAAGUGCACCUCAUUGGUGAGGGAGCGCUGGUGCCUGCCCCCAUGUGCACACAGCAGCCCAUAGCUAAGGAGUCACAGAGCUCUUACCUCAAUCCUACCUGAUCAGUUCAGCCAGAACUGAUCUCUCAGCCAAGUCUGUACCCUGGCUAGAAUGUGAUCUUCAAAAUGUGAUCCUAACCUGUUUUGUUCACUCCUAUGACCCCAGCAUCCAGAACAAUGCUUGGCACCAUUGGUAGGCACUCAAAUACUAUACUUGGUACAUCAAAUAACAAAUUAACUCCUCCAUUCUAUGCCUUCUUGGAAGGGAUACAGGAUGGCAGCUGGGGAGAGGAGAGCACAGAAGAAAGAUGAGAACAGGAUCUUAGAAAACUUCCCUGGGGCAUAUUUGUAGGCCCUGACUUACCCAGAUCCUUGGAACAGGAAUUAUGGCUUAGGGAGCAGUAGGCAAGCCCUGAUCAUGGAGCCUGGCAGACCCAUUUAUUCCUUCAACAAGGAUUUAUGGAACACUUACCAGAUGCCAAGUCCUGCUGUAUUCUCAGCCUUGCCAGGCCUAGCUUUCAUACCCUUCUGGCCCUGUGAUUUCUGGCUAGCUGUUAGCCUCUCUCUCUGUUCAUUCAUUGGUAAAUACAUCACAGGGUUCUUGAGAAGAUUAAAUGACAUAAUAUAUAAAAUA